GACAGAGGUGCCGAGCGUUAGGCGGAAUCACUGGGCUUAAAGCGUGUGUAGGCGGACUUCUAAGUACCUUGUGAAAUCCCACGGCUCAACCGUGGAACUGCUUGGUAUACUGGUCGUCUUGAGCCAUCUAGGGGCUGUCGGAACAAAUGGUGGAGCGGUGAAAUGCGUAGAUAUCAUUUGGAACGCCAAAGGUGAAAACAGACAGCUGGGGAUGUGCUGACGCUGAGACACGAAAGCCAGGGGAG
rnacentral:rRNA from 1 species